GAAGCGGCAACAGCUCAAAUUUGAAAUCUGGCCUCUUUGGGGUCCGAGUUGUAAUUUGGAGAGGAUGUUUCGGGUACGGUCCGGGCUUAAAUUUCUUGGAACAGAAUGUCACAGAGGGUGAGAAUCCCGUCUGGAGUUCGGACACGGCCUAUGUGAAGCUCCUUCGACGAGUCGAGUUGUUUGGGAAUGCAGCUCUAAAUGGGUGGUAAAUUUCAUCUAAAGCUAAAUAUUGGCCAGAGACCGAUAGCGCACAAGUAGAGUGAUCGAAAGAUGAAAAGCACUUUGAAAAGAGAGUUAAAAAGUACGUGAAAUUGUUGAAAGGGAAGCGCUGGCAACCAGACUUGCGCGUCGGGGUUCCCCCUUGCUUCUGCUUGGGUUACUCCCCGGCGUUCAGGCCAACAUCGGUUUCGGGGGUUGGUUAAAGGCCCUGGGAAUGUACCUACCCUCCGGGGUAGACUUAUAGCCCAGGGUGUCAUGCGACCUCCCGGGACCGAGGAACGCGCUUCGGCUCGGAUGUUGGCGUAAUGGUUGUCAGCGACCCGUCUUGAAACACGGACCAAGGAGUCUAACAUCUAUGCGAGUGUUAGGGUGUCAAACCCUUACGCGGAAUGAAAGUGAACGGAGGUAGGAAGCCGUUAGGCUGCACUAUCGACCGAUCCUGAUGUCUUCGGAUGGAUUUGAGUAAGAGCAUAGCUGUUGGGACCCGAAAGAUGGUGAACUAUGCCUGAAUAGGGUGAAGCCAGAGGAAACUCUGGUGGAGGCUCGCAGCGGUUCUGACGUGCAAAUCGAUCGUCAAAUUUGGGUAUAGGGGCGAAAGACUA
rnacentral:rRNA from 1 species